UACGAAGGGGGCUAGCGUUGCUCGGAAUCACUGGGCGUAAAGGGUGCGUAGGCGGGUCUUUUUAAGUCAGGGGUGAAAUCCUGGAGCUCAACUCCAGAACUGCCUUCGAUACUGGCGAUCUUGAGUCCGGAAGAGGUGAGUGGAACUCCUAGUGUAGAGGUGGAAUUCGUAGAUAUUAGGAAGAACACCAGUGGCGAAGGCGGCUCACUGGUCCGGUACUGACGCAUGAGGUGGCGAAAGCGUGGGGAGCAAACAGG
rnacentral:rRNA from 1 species